UGCGGGCGUGGCGGAAUUGGCAGACGCGUAUGGCUUAGGACCAUAUACCGUAAGGUGUGGGGGUUCAAGUCCCUCCGUCCGCAU
rnacentral:tRNA from 1 species